rnacentral:rRNA from 1 species
AGGACGAACGCUGGCGGCGUGCUUAACACAUGCAAGUCGAACGAGAUUCAGUGAGUAGCAAUACUCACGAAGAUCUAGUGGCGAACGGGUGCGUAACACGUGAGGAACUUGUCCCGGUCUCUGGGAUAACAGUUGGAAACGACUGCUAAUACCGGAUGACGUCGGAACUUCGCAUGGAGUACUGACGAAAGGGUUACUGGAUCGGGAGAGCCUCGCGGCCUAUCAGCUUGUUGGUGGGGUAAUGGCCUACCAAGGCAUCGACGGGUAGCUGGUCUGAGAGGAUGAUCAGCCACACUGGGACUGAGACACGGCCCAGACUCCUACGGGAGGCAGCAGUGGGGAAUCUUGCACAAUGGGCGAAAGCCUGAUGCAGCAACGCCGCGUGCGGGAAGAAGGCCCUCGGGUUGUAAACCGCUUUCAGAAGGAACGAAACUGACGGUACUUCAGAAGAAGGUGCGGCCAACUACGUGCCAGCAGCCGCGGUAAUCGUGA